rnacentral:rRNA from 1 species
GACGAACGCUGGCGGCGUGCCUAAUACAUGCAAGUCGAGCGGAGUUUUUAAAAGCUUGCUUUUAAAAACUCAGCGGCGGACGGGUGAGUAACACGUGGGCAACCUGCCCUGUAGACUGGGAUAACUUCGGGAAACCGAAGCUAAUACCGGAUAAUCAUAGAAGUUGCAUAGCUUCUAUGUAAAAGUUGGGUUUACCUAACACUACAGGAUGGGCCCGCGUCGCAUUAGCUAGUUGGUAAGGUAACGGCUUACCAAGGCGACGAUGCGUAGCCGACCUGAGAGGGUGAUCGGCCACACUGGGACUGAGACACGGCCCAGACUCCUACGGGAGGCAGCAGUAGGGAAUCUUCCGCAAUGGACGAAAGUCUGACGGAGCAACGCCGCGUGAGCGAUGAAGGCCUUCGGGUCGUAAAGCUCUGUUGUUAGGGAAGAACAAGUGCUAUUUCGAAUAGGGUGGCACCCUUGACGGUACCUAAA